AUAAAACGAGACCCGCAACUUCAUUGUUAAAGGUUUGAAUUACUUCUUUGCCCAACUCAAUUUUUGUUCUUUUCUUCUUUUUGUUAUGAAUUUGUCGUGAUCAUCAACAAUAACGGCCUCGGGCGGGACAGGGUGCCUCGAGGAACGAUACCUUAGGGUGGGGUGGGGAAAUUUUAAGGCUCUAUGCCUCUGGGCGGGGUGGGGGGUGGGGGGUGAGCCUCGAGGAACGCACGGCGCUUUCCUCGGGUCAGGCAAUCUCAAGGAGUAGGGUAUUCCUCGGGUCAAGCAUCCUCGGGUCAAGCAUCAUCGAGUCAAGCAUCCUCAGGUCAGGCGUCCUCGGGUCAGGCAUACUCGGGUCAGGCAUUCUUGGGGAGUAGGCCUCAUCGGGUCAGGUCAGGCGUUCUCGGGUCAGGCUUCCUCGGGUCAGGCGUUCUCAGGGAGUAGGGGUGAACCUCGUGGAACGCACGCCGCUUUCCUCGGGUCAGGCGUUCUCAAGGGGUAGGGGAUUCCUCGGGUCAGGCGUCCUCGGGUUAGGCAUCCUCGGGUCAGGUGUCCUCGGGUCAAGGAUUCUCGGGGAGUAGGCCUCCUCGGGUCAGGUCAGGCAUCAGGUCAGGCAUCCUCGGGUCAGCCGUUCUCGGGUCAGGCAUCCUCGGGUUAGGUGUUCUCACGGAGUAGGGGAAUCCUCAAGUCAGGCAUCAUCGGGUCAGGCGUCCUCGGGUCAGGCUUCCUCAGGCUAGGCAUCCUCGGGUCAGGCAUCCUCAGGUCAGGCGUUCUCGGGUCAGGCAUCUUCGGGUCAGGCAUCUUCGGGUCAGGCGUCCUCGGGUCAGGCAUCCUCAGGCCAGGCAUUCUCGGGUCAGGUGACCUUGGGCCAGGCAUUCUCGAGGAGUAGGCCUCCUCGGGUUAGGUCAAGCAUCCUCGGGUCAGGCGUUCUCGGGUCAAGCAUCCUCGGGUCAGGCGUUCUUGGGUCAGGCAUCCUCGGAUCAGGCAUUCUCGGGGAGUAGAUCAAGGGGUUUGAGGAACGCACGACACUUUCCUCGGAUCAGACGUUCUCAAGGAGUAAGGGAUUCCUCGGGUCAAGCAUCCUCUGGUCAGGCGUCCUCGGGGAGUAGGGGAUUCCUCGGGUCAGGCAUCCUCAGGCUAUGCAUCCUCGGGUCAGGUGUCCUCGGGCCAGGUAUCCUCAGGUCAGGCAUUCUCGAGGAGUAGGCCUCCUCGGGUCAGGCAUCCUCGGGUCAGGCGUUCUCGGGUCUGGCAUCCUCGGGUCAGGCGUCCUCGGGUCAGGCAAUCUCAGGCCAGGCAUCUUCGGGUCAGGUGUCCUCGGGCUAGGCAUCCUCAGGUCAGGCAUUCUCGGGGAGAAGGCCUCUUCGGGUCGGGCAUCAAGUCAGGCAUCCUCGGGUCAGACAUUCUUUGGGAGUAGAUCAGGGGGUUCGAGGAACGCACGGUGCGUGCCUCGGAGCGGGGGCUUCACGCACGGCGCCUUGGGGCAGGGGUCUCGAGGCACGCACGAUGCUUUCCUCGGAUCAGACAUUCUCGGGUCAGGCUUCCUCGGGUCAGGUAUCCUCGGGUCAGGCGUUCUCGGGUCAGGCAUACUCGGGUCAGGCAUCCUCAGGUCAGGCAUCCUCGGGGAGUAGGCCUCCUCGCGUCAGGAGGCCUCAAGGAACGCAUGGGGCGUUCCUCGGGGAGGAGGGGGGUCACACACGGCGCGUACCUUGUGGCGGAAGGGCCUCGAGGCACGCACGACACUUUCCUCGGGUCGGGUCAGGCGUUCUAAGGGAGUAGGGGAUUCCUCGGGUCAGGCAUCCUCGGGGAGUAGGCCUCUUCGGAUCAGGAGUUCUUCAUUCACGCAUCCUCGUGCCUCAGGCCAAGGGGCGGCAGGGCCCCCCGAGGAAAGUAGGACGCGUGCCUCGUGGGGUCGGGGAGAGGCGUUGGGCCCAGAGGUACGCAGGGCUCGUGCCUCGUGGUCAGGGGCGGUGGAGGGCUCCGAUGCACGCAGGGGGCCUGCCUCGGGGCGUAAGGGGCCCCUGCUACCCUACGACCCCGAGGGGCCUCAAGGUACAACGCGUGCUUCGGGGCCUCGAGGCACAACAGGCACACAUCGUGCCUCGAGGAGAAGGGGCCUCGUAGAACGGUGCCUCAGGGUGAGUACAACCAAACAUGCUUUGCUCGAGCUCGAGUACUAUGCAUUCUUUGAGGAAAUUCCUUUAACGGUAAUAUGCUUUCCAAUUUCCCUUUUCCUUUCUUCAACUUCCAUUCGAAAUGGUACAAAUUCAUACAUAUUCCUUGCUACUCCUUUUCACUGAUCAUCAAUGGUUUUAGAGGUUAGAAAAAAGGGAACCACGUAAAGUUUUUUGGAGCUCUUGUUUCGAUAGUUGAAACUUCAUUAUUUUGUGGCUAUUUCGAGGUGGAAGCUGUCAUGGUUAGCUGCUUGGCAAAAGGUAAUCUUCUUUCUCCUUCCUUUCUUUUCUCGAGCAUUGACUAGUUUCUAGCUUUGUUUCUUUUAGUUUAUGAUCCAUGUCUGUUGUAUUUCCUCAUGUAUUUAGUUAGUAGUUUAAUUACAUUUUCAACAGCUUAUAUUUGAUGUUUCUGUCAACCAAUAUGAAAGUUUGAGUUUAUUCUUAGUUUUUGUCGAGAUGUAUAAGCUUCCGUUGUUUAUAUGUUCAUAUAAAACCUGUGAUAAUUUGUAAAGGUUGGGCUUAAUGAAGUCAUCUCGGUUGAGUCUAUUUGCUUAAGAAUAACGUUGUCAAGCCGUCUCCCUUCAACACAUCCGUUAAUAAGAGUCUAAGUUUUUCUCUUGAAGCAUUUGGUUUUUGUAUAACUUUCCAGAUAGACUUCCUGAAAGCUUUCAAAUGCUCCCUUUUUAUGUACGAAUUUGUUUCUAAAAAAUGACUAUAUGUCAAUCAAGGAGGAUACAUACCAUCGAUUGAUAGAUAUAAGAAUGAAUUGUUGUCUGCCUGCAUAUUUGAGAUCUUAUCUAUUGGGAUUUUCUUUACUUUGUUUUGGCUUCAUUUCCAAUUUCAGUCUCUUCUCAAUGUAUUUAUGUAAGUUGGCAUCUCUGUUUUAUGUAUUUCGAGAUUGUCCAAUGAACCAAAUGAUUGGGGAUAUAUAUUCUUGAUCAGUUAAGGGCAAGAUUCAGUUUUCUUUCUUAAGUCGUUAUUGAAAUGUCCAUUUCUUUGUGCUAACAAUUUCGAGGUUUCUGUGUAUUUGAAAUAUGGGUGUCCUGUUUGAGUAGUAUGUUUGCUUCAGUUUGGUUCUCUUGUUACUCAAAGAAGUAAAAUAAAAUUUAGAUGUCUGUCUAUUAGGCGUUCGCUCCGCAGCAUGAACAGGUUGAGAUGCGACAUCGAUCACAUCGGGUGGGGCGAUUCUCCUAGAGCAGAGCUUGAAGCAAGGGUCAGAACUUUAGACGGGGCCUCUGUCGAUAGAGCUAAAGCAGUCAUUCAUUAAUCCACCCUCGACAUUAACUGCUGGAAUGUGCUAUCACUCUUCUUCAUCUCGUUUGUUCUUAUUCUUAGUUUAUGUUUGAUCAUAGCUGAAAGCUUGGGCGUUUUAUCUCGGUUUUCCCUUCCUAUUUGAUUUUUUUUUUCUAGUCUUAAUGUACAAGUUUAGUUUCAUUAUAAAAAAAAAGUAUAGUUUCAAAUUAUCAUUUUAUCAUAGAACCUCUGAUUGUUUGUGUCCUAGUUGGAG
rnacentral:lncRNA from 1 species